AAUCCUUAAAUUUCGAGAACAUGUAUCAUAAUCAAACAAACACACAUGAAAUAAAUCUGAAAUUUAUUUAUAUAUGACAGCAAAAUGGUUAAGCAUAUUACGUCAUUCGGAUUCAUCAUUCGAGUUAUCAUCAUCAUUACACUGAUCAUUACUUUCAUCAAACUCGUCAUCACAUGCUUCAUCCGUCAUUUAUUCAAAAUUAUCUUUAUAUUCACAGUUAUGCGGUUCA
rnacentral:lncRNA from 1 species